UACGAAGGGUGCAAGCGUUACUCGGAAUUACUGGGCGUAAAGAGCGCGCAGGCGGUCGUUCAAGUCGAGUGUGAAAGCCCCCGGCUCAACUGGGGAGGGUCACUCGAUACUGAUCGACUCGAAGGCAGGAGAGGGAAGUGGAAUUCCCGGUGUAGUGGUGAAAUGCGUAGAUAUCGGGAGGAACACCAGUGGCGAAGGCGACUUCCUGGCCUGUUCUUGACGCUGAGGCGCGAAAGCUAGGGGAGCAAACGGG
rnacentral:rRNA from 1 species